GUAAAUUUUAGGAGACCGAGUCACAAGAACAAGUUGGGAAUAAUUUUGGCAUAAAAUGGUGCAAAGAUCCAAAUCGAAGGACUCUACGGUCAAGGAUGUAAAAAAAUAAAAAUGAAAAAAGAGGCAAGAAUUUAGUAGAGAAUACCGAUGAGGUGCUUCGAAGCACAAUGCUUCGAAGCACAAGGUGCAGUAUUUCAAAAGUAAAAAUCCA
rnacentral:misc_RNA from 1 species